rnacentral:rRNA from 1 species
AUUGAACGCUGGCGGCAUGCUUUACACAUGCAAGUCGAACGGUAACAGGCCGCAAGGUGCUGACGAGUGGCGAACGGGUGAGUAAUGCAUCGGAACGUGCCCAGUCGGGAGGGAUAACUGCUCGAAAGAGCAGCUAAUACCGCAUACGAUCUAUGGAUGAAAGCGGGGGACCGUAAGGCCUCGCGCGAUUGGAACGGCCGAUGUCAGAUUAGGUAGUUGGUGGGGUAAAGGCUCACCAAGCCAACGAUCUGUAGCUGGUCUGAGAGGACGACCAGCCACACUGGGACUGAGACACGGCCCAGACGCCUACGGGAGGCAGCAGUGGGGAAUUUUGGACAAUGGGGGCAACCCUGAUCCAGCAAUGCCGCGUGCAGGAAGAAGGCCUUCGGGUUGUAAACUGCUUUUGUACGGAACGAAACGGUCUGGGUUAAUACCCUGGGCUAAUGACGGUACCGUAAGAAUAAGCACCGGCUAACUACGUGCCAGCAGCCGCGGUAA